UUACGGUCACAUCACGUUGAAGCACCGGUUCCCGUAUGAUCAAAGAAGUCAAGCAACGUUUAAUCUGGUCAGUACUUAGAUGGGUGCCCGUUUGGGAAUACCAGGUGCUGCAAG